rnacentral:pre_miRNA from 14 species
UUAUCUGGAUUCUGGGAUCAAAUCGGGUCAUCAGUGAAAGACCCCCGGAGUGGGGAGACCCUCACUCAAGUCUCGGGAUGACGCGACCCCCCAAGAACUCACGCAAGACC